rnacentral:rRNA from 1 species
UACAGAGGUCUCAAGCGUUGUUCGGAUUCAUUGGGCGUAAAGGGUGUGUAGGUGGCGCCGUAAGUCGGGUGUGAAAUCUCGGGGCUUAACUCCGAAACUGCAUUCGAUACUGCGGUGCUUGAGGACUGGAGAGGAGACUGGAAUUCAUGGUGUAGCAGUGAAAUGCGUAGAGAUCAUGAGGAAGACCAGUGGCGAAGGCGGGUCUCUGGACAGUUCCUGACACUGAGGCACGAAGGUCAGGGGAGCAAACGGG